UAAAUACUGCUACCACAUAACAGAAUAGAGCAGCUUUAUGCAGGAAAAUAGGGGGGGAGAGAGAUCUAAGUACAGAGAUAGAGAUAGAGAUAGAGAGAGAGAGAGAGAGAGAGAGAAUCAAAUCACAGCUACCACUCAGGCCUCUGCAUGAAUCCAAGCAAGCAAGCUCUAUCCAAAUCAAUUGCCAUGUAUCAUCCUUGUUUUCGAAUAAGCAUGCCGCCUCCUAUAAGCUAUUUAGUGUUUAAAGUCGGUUGUUAUUAUCUGAGUUGUUAUUUCUGAGAUCGAAAGUUUGAUUUUUGUUGGUGUGUUUUAUCAGUGGAGCUCAAACCCGUAUCUUCUUGGAUGUUAUAAUAAAUUAGAAAAACAAAGAGUUCUGACUGAA